GCAUACCAGGUAGACAUUGCCCUUUUUCGAGCACCGGUACGUUUUCCCCGGCGGGGACGCUCGCCGCUGGGAACAAUCCAAACCCUUUGCAGUCCAGCAGUACUUGUCUGAGAAGCGAAGCAAUCAAUUAAAACUUUCAACAACGGAUCUCUUGGUUCUGGCAUCGAUGAAGAACGCAGCGAAAUGCGAUAAGUAGUGUGAAUUGCAGAAUUCAGUGAAUCAUCGAAUCUUUGAACGCACAUUGCGCCCUUUGGCAUUCCUUAGGGCAUGCCUGUUCGAGCGUCAUCUACACCCUCAAGCGCAGCUUGGUGUUGGGCGUCUGUCCGUCUAGGGGACUCGCCUCAAAGUCAUUGGCGGCCGGUACGUGGGCUUCGAGCGCAGCGCGAUCGCGUCUCGAGGCCCGCCGUGCCCGCGUCCACAAGGCAAGAAAAAAAAGUCGACCUCGGAUCAGGUAGGGAUACCCGCU
rnacentral:rRNA from 1 species